rnacentral:rRNA from 1 species
AUUGAACGCUGGCGGCAGGCCUAACACAUGCAAGUCGAACGGUAACAGGGAUCAGCUUGCUGAUUCGCUGACGAGUGGCGGACGGGUGAGUAAUGUCUGGGAAACUGCCUGAUGGAGGGGGAUAACUACUGGAAACGGUAGCUAAUACCGCAUAACGUCGCAAGACCAAAGAGGGGGACCUUCGGGCCUCUUGCCAUCGGAUGUGCCCAGAUGGGAUUAGCUAGUAGGUGGGGUAACGGCUCACCUAGGCGACGAUCCCUAGCUGGUCUGAGAGGAUGACCAGACACACUGGAACUGAGACACGGUCCAGACUCCUACGGGAGGCAGCAGUGGGGAAUAUUGCACAAUGGGCGCAAGCCUGAUGCAGCCAUGCCGCGUGUAUGAAGAAGGCCUUCGGGUUGUAAAGUACUUUCAGCGGGGAGGAAGGGAGUAAAGUUAAUACCUUUGCUCAUUGACGUUACCCGCAGAAGAAGCACCGGCUAACUCCGUG